GAUGAACGCUGACAGAAUGCUUAACACAUGCAAGUCAACUUGAACUUCGGUUUGGGCGGCGGACGGGCGAGUAACGCGUAAAGAACUUGCCUCACAGAUAGGGACAACAUUUGGAAACGAAUGCUAAUACCUGAUAUUAUGAUUUUAGGGCAUCCUAGGAUUAUGAAAGCUAUAUGCGCUGUGAGAGAGCUUUGCGUCCCAUUAGCUAGUUGGAGAGGUAACGGCUCACCAAGGCGAUGAUGGGUAGCCGGCCUGAGAGGGUGAUCGGCCACAAGGGGACUGAGACACGGCCCUUACUCCUACGGGAGGCAGCAGUGGGGAAUAUUGGACAAUGGACCAAGAGUCUGAUCCAGCAAUUCUGUGUGCACGAUGAAGUUUUUCGGAAUGUAAAGUGCUUUCAGUUGGGAAGAAAAAAAUGACGGUACCAACAGAAGAAGAGACGGCUAAAUACGUG
rnacentral:rRNA from 1 species